UGUUAGGAACUAUCAAAAAGUUAUCAUUGAAAACACUUAAAAACUACUGCUUAAAACUAAAAUAUUAUUACAUAAAUAAACAUAUACUAAUUAAUUUAACAAAACAUAUCUAUUUACAAAAUAAUUCCGUUAAUAUUGUACGACUUUAAUAAUUAUCACAUUGCGUAGGUAGCCGUACCUACAUUCCACAGCCGAGCCGUUACUCUUCCGGUCGGAUGUUCGACACAAUCCUUCUGCCUUUGUAGCGAGAACACCUCGAUUACUCGUAUAUUUUUUAAAUACGUUUUUUUACUAAUUUUGUCUACGAUAUAAUAAUUUAUAGUGUUGUGUUAUCCCCAUUAAUUGGGUUUCACCCUUCGAGUUCAGCAACCGCUGGACCCACUACCGGUCCUGUACUUACCUGCACCGUUUCACCUUUCGGGUUCUACAACCCGCUGGAUCCACUUUCGGUCCUAUACUUACCCCACCGCUUCUGCUGCCCUGCUGCGCGCGCCGGUGUACCCCGUGUCGUCGUGGGAAGAGUUACAGGGAAGUGGUAGUUUUCCUACUGCACCAAGGGUGCUCAGCCAGUAUCAAAUUACCUGCGACCCAGAGAUCCGAUCUAUGUACUUGCUAGGGAUUUAAUGAAAUAAACUUGGUUUAAUUUCUA